rnacentral:rRNA from 1 species
AGACGUAGGGGGCAAGCGUUGUCCGGAAUUACUGGGCGUAAAGGGUGCGUAGGCGGCAUUACAAGUCUAAUGUGAAAUCCCCGUGCUUAACAUGGGGUUUGCAAUAGAAACUGUAAAGCUAGAGUGCAGGAGAGGUAAGUGGAAUUCCUAGUGUAGCGGUGAAAUGCAUAGAUAUUCGGAGGAACACCAGUGGCGAAGGCGGCUUACUGGUCCAUUACUGACGCUGAGGUGCGAAAGCGGUGGGGAGC